GUAUAUUGCAAUCUCAAAAAUCAGGAGAUACACAAUCAGAUGGAUAUGAAAUGAGAAGCAAAAUUGUGUCUGAAGAAAUGAGAAGCAAGAAGACAGUUAAAGGUUCUGUUACAAUUCGAUCUCAAGUAACAGUGGAUACAUAAUCAGAGAGAUCUGAAAGAGAUAACAUUAAUUUCGUCUGAUGAAAAAAGAAGCAAGAAGACAACUAAAGGGUCUGAUGGGUUACAGUCUGAAAAAUCAGGGGAUAUGCAAUCGGAGAGAUAUGAAAGUGACAAAAUUUUGUCCAGAGAAAUAAGAAGCAAGAAAACAUUGAAAGGUCAGUUAUCAUGCUCACCUAGCAUUAUGCACCAUAAAAUGAUCUUGGCAGAUAAUAUAAUCUAGCAUAAAAUUAUAUACAACAAAUUAGAGAUUGUAGCGUUGAUAAAUUUUCAAGGACUAUAUAUCUAUAGUUAGUUACAGUGAGAAAUAACAAAAGUUACAUAUGUAACUACAAUACAUAUAGACUGUAACUGGGCUAAAACUGCAAGCAUGCUUGAAUUUCUUCAAAAAAUAAAGAAUUUCUUCAGAAAAGGAGUCACUUUGUCACAAUGGACUGAAGAUUUUCCUCAAGUGAAAAUCAUCUUCAGACAGUGGUGUUUAACAAAGCACAACAAUUAGAUUAGAGCCUAGGAUA